UGCGUAGGCGGGUCUUUAAGUCAGGGGUGAAAUCCUGGAGCUCAACUCCAGAACUACCUUUGAUACUGAAGAUCUUGAGUUCGGGAGAGGUGAGUGGAACUGCGAGUGUAGAGGUGAAAUUCGUAGAUAUUCGCAAGAACACCAGUGGCGAAGGCGGCUUACUGGUCCAUUACUGACGCUGAGGUGCGAAAGCGUGGGGAGCAAACA
rnacentral:rRNA from 1 species